rnacentral:rRNA from 1 species
UACGUAGGGGGCAAGCGUUGUCCGGAUUUAUUGGGCGUAAAGAGCGUGUAGGCGGCCCGGUAAGUCCGCUGUGAAAGUCCAGGGCUCAACCCUGGGAUGCCGGUGGAUACUGUCGGGCUUGAAUCCGGGAGAGGGAUGCAGAAUUCCAGGUGUAGCGGUGAAAUGCGUAGAUAUCUGGAGGAAUACCGGUGGCGAAGGCGGCAUCCUGGACCGGCAUUGACGCUGAAGCGCGAAAGCUAGGGGAGCAAACGGG